GCCACCCUAGCUCAAUCGGCAGAGCAGGCGCUUCGUAAGCGUCAGGUUUCGAGUUCAAUUCUCGAGGGUGGCU
rnacentral:tRNA from 1 species